rnacentral:rRNA from 1 species
CUGGCUCAGAUUGAACGCUGGCGGCAGGCUUAAUACAUGCAAGUCGAACGGUAGCAGCAGGAAGGCUUGCCCUCUGGCUGACGAGUGGCGGACGGGUGAGUAAUACCUGGGAAACUGCCUACAAGAGGGGGGACAACACCUGGAAACGGGUGCUAAUACCGCAUAAGCCCUGAGGGGAAAAGGAUGGGAAACCAUGCGCUUGUAGAUGUGCCCAGGAGGGAUUAGCUGGUUGGGAGGCAAAGGCUCACCAAGGCGACGAUCUCUAGCUGGUCUGAGAGGAUGAUCAGCCACAUUGGGACUGAGACACGGCCCAAACUCCUACGGGAGGCAGCAGUAGGGAAUAUUGCACAAUGGGGGAAACCCUGAUGCAGCCAUGCCGCGUGUGUGAAGAAAAGGCCUUCGGGUUGUAAAGCACUUUCAGCGGGGAGGAAGGCGCGAGCUCCAACAGGGCCUGGCGUCAGACGUUACCCGCAGAAGAAGCGCCGGCUAACUCCGUGCCAGCAGCGGC